rnacentral:rRNA from 1 species
UGAGGAAUAUUGCCCAAUGGACGCAAGUCUGAGGCAGCAACGCCGCGUGGAGGAUGAAGGUCUUUGGAUUGUAAACUCCUUUUUUCAGGGAAGAGUGAGGACGGUACCUGAAGAAUAAGUCACGGCUAACUACGUGCCAGCAGCCGCGGUAAUACGUAGGUGGCAAGCGUUAUCCGGAAUUACUGGGCGUAAAGCGCACGCAGGCGGCUCUUUAAGUUUGACGUGAAAGCUCCCGGCUUAACUGGGAGCGGUCGUUGAAAACUGGAGGGCUUGAGGCAGUGAGAGGGGUGUAGACUUCCCGGUGUAGUGGUGGAAUGCGUAGAUAUCGGGAGGAAUACCAGUGGCGAAAGCGGCACCCUAGCCUUAUGCUGACGCUCAUGUGCGAAAGCGUGGGGUGCGAACGGG